rnacentral:rRNA from 1 species
AUGGAUAAUAACAAGAAAAUUUGGAGAUCGAAGAUUCCACUGAAAGUUAAGAUCUUCAUGUGGUACCUUUAGAAGGGAGUGGUGCUAACCAAAGAUAACCUCGCUCGUCGCAACUGGCAUGGAAGCAAGAAGUGUGGCUUUUGUACUCAUGACGAGACAACCAGACACUUCUUUUUCCAGUGCAAGUUUGCAGGUUCUACAUGGUCAAUCAUCUAA